rnacentral:misc_RNA from 1 species
UAACGUUUUUGGCAAAAAAAUGGGGAAUCGGGAAACUAAAGGAGCGAGGAAUCAAAAAGUUUACUGCUUACGGCAAACCGAGAUUCGCGCUAUGAACGAGAUUUGGAAAACUGUAGAAACAGACCUCGCCCACUACGGAAUUCAGUUUUAUAGCUUGCUAUUUCAAAAUCAUCCGGAAUACUUUAAGUACUUCCAAGAAAAUAAGCCGCACGAGUUCCAGGCAGACGUUCCGGCAAUGCGGACCAAAUUUUGUUUGACCUGCAGCACCCUUGCCGCUCUUUUCGUCGACUAUUCCCACAAAUCCCAACAGCGUAAUCAUUUAUUGGGAUACGUGGCGAUGGUGCACAAGGAUAUGAACUUGAACCAAAAAGAUCUGGAUAAUUUUAUGACGAAUAUGAUGACCAUGCUGAUGCGUCAAUUCCCAAGACUCAUGACCGCUGAAUGCUGCUUAGCGUAUAUGAAGUACGCAGCUUCCCUAACAUCGCAGAUACAAAUUCUAAUGAACACGCAACGUGAUAUUGGCAGAAUUAGCAGAGGGCUGAGUGAAUCGCCGAAAAACGACCCCACCGUGGGUUGUUUUCCGUCACCGAAUUGCGGUUGGCCCAUGUGCCGCGAAGAACGUCUAAUUUACGGUCGAACUCCUGAGUAUUGGGACGAUAGAAGCCGGCAUUGGAUGGUGCAACGCGCAAUUUGGGCCACUAUGGACAGAGACGAGUAUCGCUCCGAUCCGAUCCGAAAGAUCAGCAUCCCUGCUAGCAGAAUUGUCAGCAUAUCACGAGUUUCCACGACCCCGACAAGCUCCUUUAGCGACCAUGCUCGCGAUGAGAGCCACAUAAUGGUGCCAUCCGUAAUCAAAGGAGAGCUUAAAGAUGAUCCGGAGAGAGUCGGGAAAUGGAAGAGCAAGCGACAACCCCGGAAGCAUAACUUUUCUUCGUUUUUAUCGAAAAGCGAUGCAACUGAUAACGAAAGUGCAAAAGACCUGAAGAAUGGCGAGGCUCCCCUGUUCAGAAAAGUUGCGAUUCCUCAGCUUAACAAGGGUAAUACGAAGCCCGUCGGCCUUGAGACGCAACAGUCCUUGGACCCGAAGAGCGAAGAGCGAAGAACGAACAGCGCUGAACAUUUGGAUGGAAUGACUUUGCAGAUUCAGUUUCUUGCGCGAAACGAACUUCACCGCAAAGAGUUCGUCGCGUCUCCAUCGCUAAUUCUGCAGCUAGAGAACGAAGACGGCAAAGUACGCGCUCGAAUAUUUAUUCUUCGCAGGAACUUUCCCGUUCAACGACAAGACGAUUCUCGAUCCGCAACAGAAUGGUCAGCGUACAAAAUGAAGACUCUUCAUCGCCUGAUGACGAAGAGGAAAAAAUCUUCCGUUCGCGACUACUGAAAUCACUCGACAUCGAUACGAAUAAAAUGCGAGACCGAGGAACCUCUAUCAGUAACGUCUCCAAUCGAUCUUUAACUUCCGGAAGAAGUACGCCUACGGAAGGGAGAAAA